UGGAGGAUAAGAGCAGACGCGGGCAAAACAGUUAGGAGACGUUACAAUCAGUGAGGAUGACAGUCACCGGAAGUGCAUGCCAGCAGCGAAAUGGACAGGACAUGCCAACUGCAAGAACUACUUUGGAAAGUAACUUAGAAACACCACUGAGGGAGCAAUGACGUCAAUACUUAUUUCACUGAUGAUAGAACUUGUGGACUUUCUGCAACAUAGCUCCAAGAUUGAAAUAAGGAGGACAUGAGUGACAAUCAUGACAGCCGCGUGACUGAUGUCUGGGCACUGUAUUAAGCGGACUUCUUCAGCCAAGAGUCAUUGUACAGAUAAAUC
rnacentral:lncRNA from 1 species